UUUUUAAAAAAAAAUCUCGCAUCUUUAAACUAAUGUCAUCAUUUUCAAAAUUGUUCAUCGUGACAGAAAUUUCAAACAAAAAUUGAAAUUUUUCAUAAUUUUGAAUUACAUUAACUUUUAUCAAUAUUUUCUGUCGAUUUAAAAAAAAAAACUACUAUUUUUAAAAAUAAUAUUAAAAUAAUCACAUAUUCAAAUUAAUUAUCAAUAUAAUUACUUUUCAAACAAAAAAAAUUACAC
rnacentral:lncRNA from 1 species